UACGUAGGGUGCAGGCGUUAAUCGGAAUUACUGGGCGUAAAGCGUGCGCAGGCGGUCUUUUAAGUCAGACGUGAAAUCCCCGGGCUUAACCUGGGAACUGCGUUUGAAACUGGAAGGCUUGAGUGUGGCAGAGGGGGGUGGAAUUCCACGUGUAGCAGUGAAAUGCGUAGAGAUGUGGAGGAACACCGAUGGCGAAGGCAGCCCCCUGGGCUAACACUGACGCUCAUGCACGAAAGCGUGGGGAGCAAACAGG
rnacentral:rRNA from 1 species